GUUUCACAACGGUCAUAUUUUUCUCUCUCCUCCGUGUUCAUGUCUUUUCCUCCAUCUCUCUAAGUUCCCAUCUCUGUUUCUCUCUUCCAAUGGACGAAUGGCAGAAGAUGGAUGGAGAGUAUCAAGACUCACAUAGUCUCCUAAUAAACCCUUCUCGCCUUUCUCUCUGUUGUUCCACUUGUCGAACCAGAAGGGCAAUAAUCUCUCUCCCUACUCGCUUUCUUUCCUCAUUUUCCAUUUUUUAGGGUUAAAAAUAAGAUUGACAUUUCCAAGGUGGACGACGGGGAAGUCCUGUAUUCGAGUCUCUCAGCCAUGUCUCUGAAACAUGAAAAAACUCUAACACAAGCUCCGGCGAAGACCGCAGCUGUGAUCGAGAAGAGACCACUUUACAGGAGGUCAUAGGUCCAACACAGAACCCCUUCAGACUAUGAUUCACUGCAAAUCCGGCGCAUCUGGCUUUGGCUCCCGCGAUUGAAGCCUGAAGCAGGGGUGGGGGAUGGUAAAGAGGAUUCAGCAGUUGGCAUUCAUAACUCAGUUGAAGUCAUGCACCUAUGGAUAUUGGAAAGAGUGUCCUAAAAGGCCAUCUUCAGUGUACAUUUGAGCACCAUUGCCUGCUCCAUACACUAUGGUUCUUCACCCACCCUGAUUUCUAUUUUAGGUUGGGGGUGGGGGUGGAGUCCACUAAGGAAGUGAAGAAAGUAGCAGAGCAUGCCCUGUUUUCGUCAAACAAUGAUCACAUUGUGAGCUUGAUCGCACAGAACUGUAAUUUGAUGUUCCCAAUUAAUUUGGAGCCAAUGGAGAUGAACAUAAAGAGCCAUUGGAAUCAGGCUGUUCAUGGGCCUCAUUCAAUGUGGGAAAGAUGUUCCUUGAGAUGGAUGACGAGCUUUCCAAGAGUGCCAAAGGUAGUACCAAGAGAAAGUGGCCAAUGCCAAAUAAUUAGAAAAACAGCAUUAGUUGACAUGGAAGAGACUGGAAGAGAGGACAUGGUUUUGAUAAACUGAUAUAGUUGGGUGCCUUGUCGAUGUGUGUGAAGUGAUUUGAACCACUAAUUUUGUGUCUUGAAAGCAUUAUAAUGAUACGAUUAAAAUUAUCAAUCUAA